GGUUAAGCGACUAAGCGUACACGGUGGAUGCCCUGGCAGUCAGAGGCGAUGAAGGACGUGCUAAUCUGCGAUAAGCGUCGGUAAGGUGAUAUGAACCGUUAUAACCGGCGAUUUCCGAAUGGGGAAACCCAGUGUGAUUCGACACACUAUCAUUAACUGAAUCCAUAGGUUAAUGAGGCGAACCGGGGGAACUGAAACAUCUAAGUACCCCGAGGAAAAGAAAUCAACCGAGAUUCCCCCAGUAGCGGCGAGCGAACGGGGAGCAGCCCAGAGCCUGAAUCAGUGUGUGUGUUAGUGGAAGCGUCUGGAAAGGCGCGCGAUACAGGGUGACAGCCCCGUACACAAAAAUGCACAUGCUGUGAGCUCGAUGAGUAGGGCGGGACACGUGGUAUCCUGUCUGAAUAUGGGGGGACCAUCCUCCAAGGCUAAAUACUCCUGACUGACCGAUAGUGAACCAGUACCGUGAGGGAAAGGCGAAAAGAACCCCGGCGAGGGGAGUGAAAAAGAACCUGAAACCGUGUACGUACAAGCAGUGGGAGCACGCUUAGGCGUGUGACUGCGUACCUUUUGUAUAAUGGGUCAGCGACUUAUAUUCUGUAGCAAGGUUAACCGAAUAGGGGAGCCGAAGGGAAACCGAGUCUUAACUGGGCGUUAAGUUGCAGGGUAUAGACCCGAAACCCGGUGAUCUAGCCAUGGGCAGGUUGAAGGUUGGGUAACACUAACUGGAGGACCGAACCGACUAAUGUUGAAAAAUUAGCGGAUGACUUGUGGCUGGGGGUGAAAGGCCAAUCAAACCGGGAGAUAGCUGGUUCUCCCCGAAAGCUAUUUAGGUAGCGCCUCGUGAAUUCAUCUCCGGGGGUAGAGCACUGUUUCGGCAAGGGGGUCAUCCCGACUUACCAACCCGAUGCAAACUGCGAAUACCGGAGAAUGUUAUCACGGGAGACACACGGCGGGUGCUAACGUCCGUCGUGAAGAGGGAAACAACCCAGACCGCCAGCUAAGGUCCCAAAGUCAUGGUUAAGUGGGAAACGAUGUGGGAAGGCCCAGACAGCCAGGAUGUUGGCUUAGAAGCAGCCAUCAUUUAAAGAAAGCGUAAUAGCUCACUGGUCGAGUCGGCCUGCGCGGAAGAUGUAACGGGGCUAAACCAUGCACCGAAGCUGCGGCAGCGACGCUUAUGCGUUGUUGGGUAGGGGAGCGUUCUGUAAGCCUGCGAAGGUGUGCUGUGAGGCAUGCUGGAGGUAUCAGAAGUGCGAAUGCUGACAUAAGUAACGAUAAAGCGGGUGAAAAGCCCGCUCGCCGGAAGACCAAGGGUUCCUGUCCAACGUUAAUCGGGGCAGGGUGAGUCGACCCCUAAGGCGAGGCCGAAAGGCGUAGUCGAUGGGAAACAGGUUAAUAUUCCUGUACUUGGUGUUACUGCGAAGGGGGGACGGAGAAGGCUAUGUUGGCCGGGCGACGGUUGUCCCGGUUUAAGCGUGUAGGCUGGUUUUCCAGGCAAAUCCGGAAAAUCAAGGCUGAGGCGUGAUGACGAGGCACUACGGUGCUGAAGCAACAAAUGCCCUGCUUCCAGGAAAAGCCUCUAAGCAUCAGGUAACAUCAAAUCGUACCCCAAACCGACACAGGUGGUCAGGUAGAGAAUACCAAGGCGCUUGAGAGAACUCGGGUGAAGGAACUAGGCAAAAUGGUGCCGUAACUUCGGGAGAAGGCACGCUGAUAUGUAGGUGAAGCGACUUGCUCGUGGAGCUGAAAUCAGUCGAAGAUACCAGCUGGCUGCAACUGUUUAUUAAAAACACAGCACUGUGCAAACACGAAAGUGGACGUAUACGGUGUGACGCCUGCCCGGUGCCGGAAGGUUAAUUGAUGGGGUCAGCGCAAGCGAAGCUCUUGAUCGAAGCCCCGGUAAACGGCGGCCGUAACUAUAACGGUCCUAAGGUAGCGAAAUUCCUUGUCGGGUAAGUUCCGACCUGCACGAAUGGCGUAAUGAUGGCCAGGCUGUCUCCACCCGAGACUCAGUGAAAUUGAACUCGCUGUGAAGAUGCAGUGUACCCGCGGCAAGACGGAAGACCCCGUGAACCUUUACUAUAGCUUGACACUGAACAUUGAGCCUUGAUGUGUAGGAUAGGUGGGAGGCUUUGAAGUGUGGACGCCAGUCUGCAUGGAGCCGACCUUGAAAUACCACCCUUUAAUGUUUGAUGUUCUAACGUUGACCCGUAAUCCGGGUUGCGGACAGUGUCUGGUGGGUAGUUUGACUGGGGCGGUCUCCUCCUAAAGAGUAACGGAGGAGCACGAAGGUUGGCUAAUCCUGGUCGGACAUCAGGAGGUUAGUGCAAUGGCAUAAGCCAGCUUGACUGCGAGCGUGACGGCGCGAGCAGGUGCGAAAGCAGGUCAUAGUGAUCCGGUGGUUCUGAAUGGAAGGGCCAUCGCUCAACGGAUAAAAGGUACUCCGGGGAUAACAGGCUGAUACCGCCCAAGAGUUCAUAUCGACGGCGGUGUUUGGCACCUCGAUGUCGGCUCAUCACAUCCUGGGGCUGAAGUAGGUCCCAAGGGUAUGGCUGUUCGCCAUUUAAAGUGGUACGCGAGCUGGGUUUAGAACGUCGUGAGACAGUUCGGUCCCUAUCUGCCGUGGGCGCUGGAGAACUGAGGGGGGCUGCUCCUAGUACGAGAGGACCGGAGUGGACGCAUCACUGGUGUUCGGGUUGUCAUGCCAAUGGCACUGCCCGGUAGCUAAAUGCGGAAGAGAUAAGUGCUGAAAGCAUCUAAGCACGAAACUUGCCCCGAGAUGAGUUCUCCCUGACUCCUUGAGAGUCCUGAAGGAACGUUGAAGACGACGACGUUGAUAGGCCGGGUGUGUAAGCGCAGCGAUGCGUUGAGCUAACCGGUACUAAUGAACCGUGAGGCUUAACCUU
rnacentral:rRNA from 1 species